UGGGGAAUAUUGGACAAUGGGGGGAACCCUGAUCCAGCCAUGCCGCGUGUGUGAAGAAGGCCUUAUGGUUGUAAAGCACUUUAAGCGAGGAGGAGGGUACUGGUAUUAAUACUACCAGCUACUGGACGUUACUCGCAGAAUAAGCACCGGCUAACUCUGUGCCAGCAGCCGCGGUAAUACAGAGGGUGCGAGCGUUAAUCGGAUUUACUGGGCGUAAAGCGUGCGUAGGCGGCUAAUUGAGUCGGAUGUGAAAUCCCCGAGCUUAACUUGGGAAUUGCAUUCGAUACUGGUUAGCUAGAGUGUGGGAGAGGAUGGUAGAAUUCCAGGUGUAGCGGUGAAAUGCGUAGAGAGCUGGAGGAAUACCGAUGGCGAAGGCAGCCAUCUGGCCUAACACUGACGCUGAGGUACGAAAGCAUGGGGAGCAAACAGG
rnacentral:rRNA from 1 species